GUACUCUCUUUCUUGAGAGCUAUUUAUACAGCGUGCUCAUUCUAGCAGACGUUCGUGUCAGUUACUUAGCAGAAUUGACCAGACCCGAUCCAGUCCACUAUGAUCUGUCCUUCAGAGGAGAAGAAAACCAGAAGCUACCCAAUAAGUAAGUCAACAACUCAAGAGGGGAAAAAAAAAGCGUCUCUGCUUUUAAGGAUUCUGAAGUAGCUGGAAAAAAUGGCGUUUUAAAGAUAAAUGGUAAAACUGAACUGGAAAUCCAUCUGGCCGGCUGCCUGCUCUAAUGAAUAACCCCACUUUGGCUCCUGCGAUGUAAGCAGAAACUUCUCUCCCGGCCUCUUUCGUCUGUCAUGAAUCUACAAGACAGCCGACAUAAUAUCUGGGCGACAACGGCGCGCUAACAAACUUCACCCCUUUAGACAAGAUGGCAGCAAUGUCAAGGAUGCAUGUGCCUUUGAACCAGUUUCCCCCGAGAGCAGCUGUAAGGUCUCCAAGGCGGAACAUCAGGCCACUGUGAGAAAAGGGUGCAGAAAGCCUGAAGGGAAGGUUCAGCAAAUUCCAACUGUCUGGUAUCCUGUGGUAACUGGUUGCAAAUUUGAGUGAAGGGUCUCUCUUUUUGUAACGCUGGUGGUCAAAACUCUCCAUGUUAUACUUCACUGAUAGUUCAGGGUUGGUCCUGGGGGCGUUAAAACAGCUCGACCAUUGAUUGCCUCUUGGCUUCCUCCGAAGACUCGCAGGAUUGUGAAUAACUGGGAGGUUAGUACUGCACUCUCUGCACUCAGACAGUGGAAUCAGGAGGAUCAGGAGUUCAAGGUUACCCCCAAGUACACGGAGAGGUUGAAAGAAGUCUAGUCUACAUAAGACCCUAUCUCAAAAAUCAAAUGAAGAAUCAUGGAAAUGAGUAAUAAAUGUCUUGAGGAGAGGAAGCUUACAAACUAUUUUCUUCGGUGUUACCUUGAGUCUUAGGAUUUCAAUUUUGGAUGUGUGGAUUUUGGACCUCACACAUUCUCAUCAGCAUCAAUUUCUGGUCUGUUGUGGGUGUUUCAGAAAGCCUCCUGUUCCGCAGUGAGGGCUUUUCAAAGCAUUCCACAGCUGAUGGCUCCUGCCACUCCUUCCACUUUAAUUGAGCCAGAGACUACGUUUAAGUCAUCGGGCUUAAUGAUAAGUGUUCCCGGAUUCUCUCUACAUGUGUAUGCUCCAUUCCAUUCUCAACAAAAUGUCUAAUGAAGAAGCCACAAUUUUCAAAAUGAAAAAGAGAAGCAUGUUGCAUCCUUAAAAUCAUGGGAAGUCCUUUUCCAGGGCUUUUGGACCCCCAUCAUCCCAGCAAAGCUAUAUAGGACUCCAAUACUCAAUGCCAGGGCAGCUUUUCCUACCAGAAUGUAAGGUGAGACAGUGUGUCACCAUACAGCCAUAAGGUCAAAGACCUGUAUUGAAACUGGAAUCUUAGCUUUACCUACUAAAAAUUGGGCUGCUCAAUCUCUGAAAAUGAGACAUCAUUGCCAAACUAAUGUGUUAGGUACUCUUUUACUAAGAAUCAGUUAAAUAAACUAAUAUGGUAGGUGUCUUCUCA